rnacentral:pre_miRNA from 1 species
AUUAUACUCCCUCUGUCCCAAAAUUCUUGUUUUAAAUUUGUUUAGAUACGGAUGUAUCUAACGUAACUAGAUACAUCCAUAUUUAGACAAAUCUAAGAAAAUAAUUUUGGGAGAGGGGGAGUAUAAA